CCUACGGGUGUCAGCAGUGGGGAAUAUUGGGCAAUGGGCGAAAGCCUGACCCAGCAACGCCGCGUGAAGGAAGAAGGCUUUCGGGGUGUAAACUUCUUUUGACAGGGAAGAGCAGAAGACGGUACCUGUCGAAUAAGCCACGGCUCACUACGUGCCAGCAGCCGCGGUAAUACGUAGGUGGCAGGCGUUGUCCGGAUUUACUGGGUGUAAAGGGUGUGUAGCCGGGCUGACAAGUCAGAUGUGAAAUCCGGGGGCUCAACCCCCGAACUGCAUUUGAAACUGUUGGUGUUGAGUACCGGGGAGGCAGGCGGAAUGCCUAGUGGAGCGGUGAAAGGCGUAGAUAUUAGGAGGAAAACGAGUGGCGAAGGCGGCCUGCUGGACGACAACUGACGGUGAGGCGCGAAAGCGUGGGGAGCAAACAGGAUUAGAUACCCCAGUAGUC
rnacentral:rRNA from 1 species